rnacentral:rRNA from 1 species
GAUCCUGGGCUCAGGAUGAACGCUGGCGGCGUGCUUAACACAUGCAAGUCGAACGAAGCACUUUAUUUGAUUUCCUUCGGGACUGAUUAUUUUGUGACUGAGUGGCGGACGGGUGAGUAACGCGUGGGUAACCUGCCUUGUACAGGGGGAUAGCAGUUGGAAACGGCUGCUAAUACCGCAUAAGCGCACGGCAUCGCAUGAUGCAGUGUGAAAAACUCCGGUGGUAUAAGAUUGACCACG